CACGUAGGGUGCGAGCGUUGUCCGGAAUUAUUGGGCGUAAAGAGCUCGUAGGCGGUGUGUCGCGUCGGCCGUGAAAACCUGCAGCUUAACUGUGGGCGUGCGGUCGAUACGGGCAUCACUGGAGUUCGGCAGGGGAGACUGGAAUUCCUGGUGUAGCGGUGAAAUGCGCAGAUAUCAGGAGGAACACCGGUGGCGAAGGCGGUUCUCUGGGAAUAUCCUGACGCUGAGGAGCGAAAGUGUGGGGAGCGAACAGG
rnacentral:rRNA from 1 species